UUUGCUUUACUAUCUUCUAUAUUUUUAAAUUCUACAUUUUUAAAUUCUACAUUUUUAAAUUCUACAUUUUUUAAUUCUACAUUUUUUAAUUCUACAUUUUUUAAUUCUACAUUUUUUAAUUCUACAUUUUUUAAUUCUAUAUUUUUAAAUUCUACAUUUUUAUCAUUUAUUAGUACAUUAUUAAAUGCCACAUUUUCUGUUGGAUUAUAUUCAUUUAUAUUAUUUUUUAAUAAAGUAGAAACAGUUAUAUUUGUAUUAUGUUCGUUCGUACAUGGACUUUUUUGUAUUUCUUCUAUCGUUUCUGUGGAAUAAUUUAUUAUACUACUACCACUGCUACUGCUACUGCCACUACCACUACCACUGCCACAACCACUACCACUUCCACUACCACUACCACUACCACUACCACUACCACUACCACUACCACUACCACUACCACUACCACUACCACUACCACUACCACUACCACUACCACUACCACUACCACUACCACUACCACUACCAAAAUUUUCUAUUUUUUGAUUCUUUUCAUCUUUUACUAUAUUACUGUUGGUUUCUGUAAAGUUGUUAUUCAUUUUUAUGUGACAAAAUCGUUUUAUUUCUUAUUUUACUUCGACACUUUCGCUAGUGCAUGUGUACACACAUAAACAAAGUAUUUCGUGCUUGCAUGUAUACACAUUAUAUACACAUAUGUACAUAUAUGUAUGUAUGUAUGUACGUAUGCAUGCAUGUACGUAUGUAUGCAUGUACGUAUGUAUGCAUGUAUAUACGUGCAUGUAUAUACGUGCAUGUAUAUUUAUUAUAUUUCACACAUUAAUAUAAGUCUAAUUUACUCACUUCCUCUUUAACUAAAAAAAUAAUACAAAAAAAUAUAACGUUAAAAUGUUAUAAAAAAUUAAUAUACAUACAUAUAUAUAUAUAUAUGUAUAUAUGUAUAUAUAUGUAUAUAUUUAUAUAUAUGUAUAUAUUUAUAUAUAUAUGUAUAAUAAAUAAAAAAAAAAAAAAAUUUGUAAUUGUAUA
rnacentral:lncRNA from 1 species